rnacentral:rRNA from 1 species
GACAGAGGCCUCAAGCGUUAGGCGGAAUCACUGGGCUUAAAGCGUGUGUAGGCGGACUUCUAAGUGCCUUGUGAAAUCCCACGGCUCAACCGUGGAACUGCUGGGCAUACUGGGAGUCUUGGGCCAUUCAGGGGCAACUGGAACAAGCGGUGGAGCGGUGAAAUGCGUAGAUAUCGCGUGGAACGCCGAAGGUGAAAACAGGUUGCUGGGGAUGUGCCGACGCUGAGACACGAAAGCCAGGGGAGCAAACGGG